ensembl:lncRNA
CUUUCCAAUUAAUUUAUUUAAAUUCAUUAACGUUGCAAAACUAUGUGCAAUAAAAAGACAUGUUACUGUAUUCCUAAAAGGACAAAGGAAAAGAAAAUAUUACAUCUCCUACAUUGUAAAUCACGACCAACAUUAGUAUUUUUUACAGAGACCUCAUCAACAUGUUGCAUACAGACAUCAAAAUUUAAUUUCUCACACUGAAAUGACAGUACUAGUUGACAUCAUUCUAAUAUCGUAAAAAGCUCACAGUAAAUUUUUUCAAAUGAUAGCAUGUGAACUUGUGGUAAUGAACAUUUCUGAAACAUAUAUCAAAGUGCAUGAUACUUUAAACUGUUUUAUGUGAACUGUGUCCUCAGGGCUGUGGAAGUGCAUGGCCCUGAAUACCACCAACAUUUGCUAGGUAGGUUUGUGUAGUAAACUAUUAAGCAACGGUUAAAAAGGAACAGUAAAGUAGCUGAUAGUAUUAUCCAAGUUCCCUUGUCAAACAAUGUGAAAAAUGCCUGAAAACUUCAAAUGCAAACAUAACCUUUUGCAGAGUGUAAGAUGUCAAGAUAAAACCCGACAGUUAUCUGAAGCAAGCAUUUUAAUAUCAUUCUUUACUAACUUGAAAGCAAACUUGCUUUUCAUCUGGUGCUUGAAUUGUGAAAUGCUGUAUGUGUGUCACAGCAUUUUUAGUUUGCAAAACACAGUAUGUAAAGCUGUUAUAUACAGUUGCAAAAAAGUGUUCUGUUCAAAUUUUAGUGUUGACUUACUGUUCCACAUAUUACUUUAUUUUCACUUGCCAUUUAGAACUUUAAAGGAAAUAAAUUAUUGGGCCCCUUUGCUGAUGAUCCUAAAUUCACACAGCAUCUCAGGAACGGGAGCUCAGAACACUGGGCAGGUAAAACCCCACUUCCCUCCACACCUUGCCUCCACACCUCAGCUGUUUGUGAUCCCUGACUCUUUCUCCUAGCAAUUCAAGCUACACAGAUUCUAUUCCCUGUGCCAAGACAAACUCUUCAAUAGCAAAACAAGCCUAACUUACAUUACUUGCUUUUUCUUACUCCAUCCCUCUGGAAUUUGUGAUCCAUUUCUCAAAUAUCCAUAGAAAAUGGGGAAAAACAGGCAUGAAAACAAAAACAGAACGCAGUCAUCUCUGUUGUCAGCCCAUUUCUACCUCAGCAAAGUAAAGUUUUCUACUUAUAACAUGGGAAAAAGAAGGCUAAAGCUAUGGCCAUCUUAUAUUCAGUCUUAAACUCAUCAAGAAACUGGCCUCUUCUACCCAGUAUACUCUGAUGCUAAUGUUAUGUCAACUGAAGAAAUCUAAAAAGCCACUUCUCCAUUAAAUCACUUUUCUGAAUUCUCUGAGCACUCACAUAGCCAAAUGUUAAUGCUAUGGUCAUCUUAAGGAGCCUACCAAGAAGCAGACCCUUUACUCUUAAAACUUUGGAACUGGAUGUGAAGAAACUCUAGCAAUGGCUGUACUGGUCAAUCAGCAGAUUUCAGUACUGUAAUCAGUGCAGCUACUAAGUAGUGAUGUCCAUUAUGAGCCACCCCCUUCCCUGCUUGCCAUUCUGGGGCUUGAACCCCCAGGUCCUGGCACAUACAUUCUAGACAAGUGCAUUAUCAUUGAGCUACAUGGCCAGCCCGUGAUUCUAUUAUGGAAGAUAAGUGUUUACCAACUGAGAAAUAGGAAAUAACACAGUCCUAAACAUUAAUUUGAGCACUAUAAUUUUAACUCAGUAUGUUCAAACUUGCUUUUGUACCAAGAGAUCCAGAAAGCCGAGAAACACAAAUUUUCAUCAUAGGUAUCAUCAGUCUUUUCAUCUUUAAUCCAUGGUUUAUUUGCCUAUUGUGUGCAGCCUACAGGUGGAUGCAAGAAAUGGUGCCACUAGCUGCCCAUGAACCACUUUCCUUAGUUAGUGGCAUCUUAGAUAAGGUGUUAUCCCUUAUAAAAGUUUUCUUUCUCUUUUCAGCUACUACUUAGAAUCCUCUUUCUUCACAUCUUCUCCACCCCUUUUGAAUUAAUGACUACUAAGCUUAAAGGUGGGCUCAAUAUCAUGUAUUUCCUUGGUGCCUGUUUAGGAAUAUGAUUCAGUAGAACACAGAAUCAAAUUAUUUCAUACCUCAUAAGAGAAAUUUCUGACUAAAAAGGGGCACUCACAGCUGGUGACAGAAAGAGCAAAUUAAAUCAUUUAACUUAGAUCUAAGAUUCCAGCAAAAAGAUAAUAGAAUUAUUUGUACUUUUACCUCAAUCAGUAAUGGAAAUUAGAAUAAGGGAAAAUGUUACAUAGUUACAAAUUACAACUAAACUUAAAUCCUUUCUUGUAAUCUACUAAUUAUCAUCUUAAGUCUUCUAGGUAUGAAACAUUUAUUGUGGGCAUAUCCCUAUACCAGAUCCCAUUAAGGUAUAGAUUAAAAUAGGUAUCCUUUUGAAGUAGUGAUUCACAGCCUGUCCCUUUCACUAUAACUCAAGUGUUACCAUUGUUCCCUCUGAAUUUUAAUGUUUUGACAGAAUAUAGGCUAUUUUUUUUUUAAAUUUAGAAAAACAUCACUUUCCAACAAAUUCUAUCUAGGUUAGGAAAAAUGACUGUAAGUUAAAAAAUAUAACACAGAGCUUAAAUUACUCUUUACACUUUUC